AUGUGGAGGUUUCUGGAAGGUGGUGCUUCUGGAGAGGACACAAAACACUCUGAGCCCUUUCUCCCAUACCUCUCCCUAUACAUCUCUUCCAUCUGGCUCUUCAUCUGUAAUAUCCUUUACAAUAAACCAAUAAAGGGUCUCACUCUGUCAUCCAGGUUGGAGUGCAGUGGCAUCAUCAAAGCUCCCUGCAGCCUCAACCUCCUGAGCUCAAGCAAUUCUCUUUCCUCAGCCUCCCAGAGCAGAAUCCAGUCAUAAGAAAUCAGACAUUUUAUUCAAAACAAUCUACUUAUUGACUGAGAAAGAAUUAGCACCCUAUCAGCAGAUUCUCAGUUUAGAAAAAUAUUCAGUAAGUAUUUUUCAUCUGGGAAGAGACAGCUACAUUUAGUUAUUGGUAUAGAAAUAGAUCAACAUCACCUUUGCCAAAUUGUCCAUCCAGUAGCUUCCAAAUUCCACUGCUGUUAUUCGCUGGAGAUGACUAGAGAAAAAUGAAUGCUAGAUCAGCUCUUCCUGACAGCCUUCUUACCAAAUGGUGUGCGAUCCUUGGGUAUGCUGUGAAAGAAGCAAUUCCCAAGUCUCAGAGGCUAAAAUAAUAAAGGCUUUGGAGGUCCAUUUAGAGGACGCUGA
rnacentral:lncRNA from 13 species